rnacentral:rRNA from 1 species
UAACACGUAAACAACCUGCCUUCAGGAUGGGGACAACAGACGGAAACGACUGCUAAUACCGAAUAAGUUCCAAGAGCCGCAUGGCCCAUGGAAGAAAAGGUGGCCUCUACCUGUAAGCUAUCGCCUGAGGAGGGGUUUGCGUCUGAUUAGCUGGUUGGAGGGGUAACGGCCCACCAAGGCGACGAUCAGUAGCCGGUCUGAGAGGAUGAACGGCCACACUGGAACUGAGACACGGUCCAGACUCCUACGGGAGGCAGCAUG